GGUUCACCCCGUGGCCAAAGCCUGACCGAGCACGCCGCGUGAGCGAUGAAGGCCUUCGGGUCGUAAAGCUCUGUUGUUAGAGAAGAACAAGUACGAGAGUAACUGCUCGUACCUUGACGGUACCUAACCAGAAAGCCACGGCUAACUACGUGCCAGCAGCCGCGGUAAUACGUAGGUGGCAAGCGUUAUCCGGAAUUAUUGGGCGUAAAGCGCGCGCAGGCGGUCUCUUAAGUCUGAUGUGAAAGCCCACGGCUCAACCGUGGAGGGUCAUUGGAAACUGGGAGACUUGAGUGCAGGAGAGAAAAGUGGAAUUCCACGUGUAGCGGUGAAAUGCGUAGAGAUGUGGAGGAACACCAGUGGCGAAGGCGGCUUUUUGGCCUGUAACUGACGCUGAGGCGCGAAAGCGUGGGGAGCAAACAGGAUUAGAUACCCUGGUAGUCCACGCCGUAAACGAUGAGUGCUAGGUGUUGGGGGGUUCCACCCUCAGUGCUGAAGUUAACACAUUAAGCACUCCGCCUGGGGAGUACGACCGCAAGGUUGAAACUCAAAGGAAUUGACGGGG
rnacentral:rRNA from 1 species